rnacentral:rRNA from 1 species
AUUGAACGCUGGCGGCAGGCCUAACACAUGCAAGUCGAGCGGUCGACGGGAGCUUGCUCCCUGAUUCAGCGGCGGACGGGUGAGUAAUGCCUAGGAAUCUGCCUAUUAGUGGGGGACAACGUUUCGAAAGGAACGCUAAUACCGCAUACGUCCUACGGGAGAAAGCAGGGGACCUUCGGGCCUUGCGCUAAUAGAUGAGCCUAGGUCGGAUUAGCUUGUUGGUGAGGUAAUGGCUCAACAAGGCGACGAGCCGUAACUGGUCUGAGAGGAUGAUCAGUCACACUGGAACUGAGACACGGUCCAGACUCCUACGGGAGGCAGCAGUGGGGAAUAUUGGACAAUGGGCGAAAGCCUGAUCCAGCCAUGCCGCGUGUGUGAAGAAGGUCUUCGGAUUGUAAAGCACUUUAAGUUGGGAGGAAGGGUUGUAGAUUAAUACUCUGCAAUUUUGACGUUACCGACAGAAUAAGCACCGGCUAACUCUGUGCCAGCAGCCGCCGUAAUAC